rnacentral:rRNA from 1 species
UACGUAGGGUGCGAGCGUUAAUCGGAAUUACUGGGCGUAAAGUGUGCGCAGGCGGCCGCGCAAGUCGAGUGUGAAAUCCCCGAGCUUAACUUGGGAAUUGCGCUCGAAACUACGUGGCUGGAGUGUGGCAGAGGAAGGUGGAAUUCCACGUGUAGCGGUGAAAUGCGUAGAGAUGUGGAGGAACACCGAUGGCGAAGGCAGCCUCUGGGCCAACACUGACGCUCAUGCACGAAAGCGUGGGGAGCAAACAGG